UUCCUUCAAGCAGACGCUCCUGAUUGAUCAGACCUCAGCAGACAGACUUCACUGCAGCACAGAAGACAAAGGGUGCGUGAAAAUUUAAUUGAAGCAGACAGACUUCACAGCAGCACAGUUAAACACAAUCACACCUGAAUCAUCCCAG